rnacentral:rRNA from 1 species
UACAGAGGUCUCAAGCGUUGUUCGGAUUCAUUGGGCGUAAAGGGUGUGUAGGUGGCGCGCUAAGUCGGGUGUGAAAUCUCGGAGCUUAACUCCGAAAUUGCAUUCGAUACUGGCGUGCUUGAGGACUGGAGAGGAGACUGGAAUUCACGGUGUAGCAGUGAAAUGCGUAGAGAUCGUGAAGAAGACCAGUGGCGAAGGCGGGUCUCUGGACAGUUCCUGACACUGAGACACGAAGGCCAGGGGGAGCAAAACGGG